UACGGGGGGGGGCAAGCGUUGUUCGGAAUUACUGGGCGUAAAGGGCUCGUAGGCGGCCCGCUAAGUCGAACGUGAAAUCCCCCGAGCUCAACUCGGGAACUGCGUCCGAUACUGGCGGGCUUGAAUCCGGGAGAGGGAUGCGGAAUUCCAGGUGUAGCGGUGAAAUGCGUAGAUAUCUGGAGGAACACCGGUGGCGAAGGCGGCAUCCUGGACCGGCAUUGACGCUGAGGCGCGAAAGCUAGGGGAGCAAACGGGG
rnacentral:rRNA from 1 species